rnacentral:rRNA from 1 species
GACGGAGGGGGCUAGCGUUGUUCGGAAUGACUGGGCGUAAAGGGCGCGUAGGCGGCUUAUCAAGUCAGGUGUGAAAGCCUUGGGCUUAACCCAAGAAUUGCGCUUGAUACUGAUAAGCUAGAGGAUGAUAGAGGAAAGCGGAAUUCCUAGUGUAGAGGUGAAAUUCGUAGAUAUUCGGAAGAACACCAGUGGCGAAGGCGACUUACUGGACACAUAUUGACGCUGAGGUGCGAAAGCGUGGGGAGCAAACAGG